CCUACGGGUGGCAGCAGUGAGGAAUAUUGGUCAAUGGACGAGAGUCUGAACCAGCCAAGUAGCGUGAAUGAUGACUGCCCUAUGGGUUGUAAACUUCUUUUAUAAAGGAAUAAAACGAGGCACGUGUGCCUUUUUGCAUGUACUUUAUGAAUAAGGAUCGGCCAACUCUGUGCCAGCAGCCGCGGUAAUACGGAGGAACUGAGCGUUAUCCGGAUUUAGUGGGUUUAAAGGGAGCGUAGAUGGGUUGUUAAGUCAGUUGGGAAAGUUUGCGGCUCAACCGUAAAAUUGCAAUGGAUACUGGCAGUCUUGAGUGCAGUUGGGGUAGGCGGAAUUCGUGGUGUAGCGGUGAAAUGCUUAGAUAUCACGAAGAACCCCGAUUGCGAAGGCAGCUUACUAAACUGUGACUGACAUUGAUGCUCGAAAGUGUGGGUAUCAAACAGGAUUAGAUACCCUAGUAGUC
rnacentral:rRNA from 1 species